rnacentral:rRNA from 1 species
GACGAACGCUGGCGGCGUGCUUAACACAUGCAAGUCGAGCGGUAAGGCCCUUUCGGGGGUACGACGAGCGGCGAACGGGUGAGUAACACGUGGGUGACCUGCCCUCAGCUCUGGGAUAAGCCUGGGAAACCGGGUCUAAUACCGGAUAUGACUCCAUGACGCAUGUUGUGGGGUGGAAAGCCUUGUGCGGCUGAGGAUGGGCCCGCGGCCUAUCAGCUUGUUGGUGGGGUGAUGGCCUACCAAGGCGACGACGGGUAGCCGGCCUGAGAGGGCGACCGGCCACACUGGGACUGAGACACGGCCCAGACUCCUACGGGAGGCAACAGUGGGGAAUCUUGCGCAAUGGGCGAAAGCCUGACGCAGCGACGCCGCGUGAGGGAUGACGGCCU